rnacentral:rRNA from 1 species
AGAGUUUGAUUCUGGCUCAGGACGAACGCUGGCGGCGUGCUUAACACAUGCAAGUCGAACGAUGAAGCCUAGCUUGCUAGGUGGAUUAGUGGCGAACGGGUGAGUAAUACGUGAGUAACCUACCUUUAACUCUGGGAUAAGCCUGGGAAACUGGGUCUAAUACCGGAUACGACCAAUCUCCGCAUGGGGUGUUGGUGGAAAGCGUUAUGUAGUGGUUAUAGAUGGGCUCACGGCCUAUCAGCUUGUUGGUGAGGUAACGGCUCACCAAGGCGACGACGGGUAGCCGGCCUGAGAGGGUGACCGGCCACACUGGGACUGAGACACGGCCCAGACUCCUACGGGAGGCAGCAGUGGGGAAUAUUGCACAAUGGGCGCAAGCCUGAUGCAGCGACGCCGCGUGAGGGAUGACGGCCUUCGGGUUGUAAACCUCUGUUAGCAGGGAAGAAGAGAGAUUGACGGUACCUGCAGAGAAAGCGCCGGCUAACUACGUGCCAGCAGCCGCGGUAAUACGUAGGGCGCGAGCGUUGUCCGGAAUUAUUGGGCGUAAAGAGCUUGUAGGCGGUUUGUCGCGUCUGCUGUGAAAGGCCGGGGCUUAACCCCGUGUAUUGCAGUGGGUACGGGCAGACUAGAGUGCAGUAGGGGAGACUGGAAUUCCUGGUGUAGCGGUGGAAUGCGCAGAUAUCAGGAGGAACACCGAUGGCGAAGGCAGGUCUCUGGGCUGUAACUGACGCUGAGAAGCGAAAGCAUGGGGAGCGAACAGGAUUAGAUACCCUGGUAGUCCAUGCCGUAAACGUUGGGCACUAGGUGUGGGGGACAUUCCACGUUUUCCGCGCCGUAGCUAACGCAUUAAGUGCCCCGCCUGGGGAGUACGGCCGCAAGGCUAAAACUCAAAGAAAUUGACGGGGGCCCGCAC